GAAACAGCAUUUUCACGGAUUAAAAAUCCGCGUGUCGGUGGUUCGAUUCCGCCCCUGGCCACCA
rnacentral:tRNA from 1 species